UUUUUAUUAUUAACAGGAACUGACCCCAAACACAAUAAUCAUAAAAGAUAACAAUUCCAGUUGUGCUUACAUAAAUAUAGCAAAGGCAAAAAAAAAUAUUUGAUAUGUCACUUCACGGUCGGUGCUGGAUCGGAUCAACCGGAGGCUCCUGCUACAAACCCUGACGACCAAUCAGGUGUGCGUGAGUGCGUGCGUGGCUGAUGGAGUGGCCCAACUCCUAGUGUUUUAUUUCCCCUUGUGUUUCAGAGUACAUCACGCCAAUCGGCAACACUCGUGUUCCACGGUUUAAGGAACCAUGUCUAUUGGAGUGCGACCUCUUUACCCUCCGAGUGGACUUCACUGUUUAACCACAUUCAGAACAUCCCUGGGCAUAAAGACCCCUCUUCCCCAAAGACAAAGCCUCUUCAAACAGAAUCCACAUCCAAUCAUGUGGGGGACUUGAUGAGGAUGGUGUUUGAGGACCCAGCACCAUUUGUGGAGUAGAUGAAAAAAUCCCCAACCCCAAGGAUCUGUGAUCCCAAUAUGACAGGCCGUGAAAAACAGGAAGUGUUUGCUGGCCACAAGUCGGGUUUCAGUCGAGGGGCAGUUAUGGAGCCAACACACUCCUGGUGGACCGGAGGACUGCAUCUGGUCUCCUUCGUCCUCGGACUCUCUCCGUACAUUUCCCUGUGAGGAAAAAGAAAAGCGUCUUUACGGACACUUGUUCAGAGGAGGUGGAGCCCAACCCGGGGCCCGGGCCCCUCCAGAGGGUCGCCACACAGACCUGACAGCUGCUGACGUCAUUAAUGUGACAGUAAAGUUCUGAUGCACAAAUAUCUGUGGUCAGUUGAACUUGUGUUUUGGGAUCUUUGGGUCUAAAAGGUCUUUUGAAUAAAACCUUAACGUGUAAA